UUUCGCAAUGCCCGAAAGGGUGACGAAGCGACGCCGCGUGUGGGAAGAAGGCCUUCGGGUUGUAAACCACUGUCGGGAGUUAGGAAAUGUAAGGGUGCUAAUAGUACCCUUACUUGACUAAGGCUCCGGAGGAAGCCACGGCUAACUCUGUGCCAGCAGCCGCGGUAAUACAGAGGCGGCAAGCGUUGUUCGGAAUUAUUGGGCGUAAAGAGCACGUAGGCGGCCUUGUAAGUCAGUUGUGAAAGCCUUCUGCUUAACGGAAGAACAGCAGCUGAUACUGCAAGGCUAGAGUGCGGAAGGGGAGAGUGGAACUUCUGGUGGAGCGGUGAAAUGCGUAGAUAUCAGAAGGAACACCGGCGGCGAAGGCGACUCUCUGGUCCGUAACUGACGCUGAGUGUGCGAAAGCUAGGGGAGCAAACGGGAUUAGAUACCCCGGUAGUCCUAGCCGUAAACGAUGGGCACUAAGUAGAGGGGUUUUA
rnacentral:rRNA from 1 species